GUGAGGAAUAUUGCGCAAUGGAGGCAACUCUGACGCAGCCAUGCCGCGUGCAGGAAGAAGGCGCUACGCGUUGUAAACUGCUUUUAACCGGGAAGAAACCCCAGGACGUGUCCUGGGUUGACGGUACCGGAGGAAUAAGCACCGGCUAACUUCGUGCCAGCAGCCGCGGUAAUACGAAGGGUGCAAGCGUUAUCCGGAUUCAUUGGGUUUAAAGGGUGCGUAGGCGGAGCGUUAAGUCAGUGGUGAAAUCCUGCAGCUUAACUGUAGACUUGCCAUUGAUACUGGCGCUCUUGAGUGCGCUUGAAGUGGGCGGAAUGUGCCGUGUAGCGGUGAAAUGCUUAGAUAUGGCACAGAACACCAAUUGCGAAGGCAGCUCACUAAGGCGAUACUGACGCUGAGGCACAAAAGCGUGGGGAUCGAACAGGAUUAGAAACCCCGGUAGUCC
rnacentral:rRNA from 1 species